UACGUAGGGUGCGAGCGUUAAUCGGAAUUACUGGGCGUAAAGCGUGCGCAGGCGGUUCGCCGUGUCCGAUGUGAAAGCCCCGGGCUUAACCUGGGAAUGGCAUUUGUGACUGCACGGCUAGAGUGUGUCAGAGGGGGGUAGAAUUCCACGUGUAGCAGUGAAAUGCGUAGAUAUGUGGAGGAAUACCGAUGGCGAAGGCAGCCCCCUGGGAUAACACUGACGCUCAUGCACGAAAGCGUGGGGAGCAAACAGG
rnacentral:rRNA from 1 species